GCCUGGGUGGCUCAGUCGGUUAAGCAUCUGACUUUGGCUCAGGUCAUGAUCUUGUGGUUUGUGAGUUCAAGCCCCACAUCCGGCU
rfam:Felis catus isolate Cinnamon breed Abyssinian chromosome E3, whole genome shotgun sequence.